rnacentral:rRNA from 1 species
AGAGUUUGAUCCUGGCUCAGAACGAACGCUGGCGGCGUGGAUAAGGCAUGCAAGUCGAACGCGAAAGCCACCUUCGGGUGGUUAUUAGAGUGGCAAACGGGUGAGUAACACGUGAGCAAUCUGCCCUUGGGUGGGGAAUAACUCCGGGAAACCGGAGCUAAUACCGCAUAACGUUGCGAGGUCCUAUGUCCUUGCAACCAAAGGGGGGGAUCUUCGGACCUCCCGCCUGGGGAUGAGCUCGCGCCCGAUUAGCUAGUUGGUGAGGUAACGGCUCACCAAGGCUGUGAUCGGUAGCCGGUCUGAGAGGAUGGCUGGCCACACUGGGAUUGAGAUACGCCCCAGACUCCUACGGGGGGCAGCAGUCUAGAAGCUUCCGCAAUGGGCGAAAGCCUGACGGAGCGACGCCGCGUGCAGGACGAAGGUUUUCGGAUUGUAAACUGCUUUCGACAGGGAAGAACGGCUCGAUGGCCAACACCCAUCGUGUUUGACGGUACCUGGAGAAGAAGCCCUGGCUAACUCCGUGCCAGCAGCCGCGGUAAUACGGAGAGGGCAAGCGUUGUUCGGAUUUAUUGGGCGUAAAGCGCGCGCAGGCGGCCAAGUAAGUCGGGUGUUAAAUACCUACCGCUCACCGGAGGGAAUGCGCCCGAUACUGCAUGGCUUGAGUACGAGAGAGGAAUCUGGAAUUCCGGGUGUAGUGGUGAAAUUCGUAGAUAUUGGGAGGAACAUCCGUGGCGAAGGCGACUCUCUGGACCAAUACUGACGCUGAGACGCGAAAGCGUGGGGAGCAAACAGGAUUAGAUACCCUGGUAGUCCACGCCGUAAACGAUGAGAACUAGGUGUAGCGGGUAUUGACCCCUGCUGUGCCGAAGUUAACGCAUUAAGUUCUCCGCCUGGGGAGUACGGCCGCAAGGCUAAAACUCAAAGGAAUUGACGGGGACCCGCACAAGCGGUGGAGCAUGUGGUUUAAUUCGACGCAACGCGAAGAACCUUACCUGGAUUUGACAUCCUCUGCUAACCCCGGAAACGGGGUCUUUCCGACUUGUCGGAACAGAGUGACAGGUGCUGCAUGGCUGUCGUCAGCUCGUGUCGUGAGAUGUUGGGUUAAGUCCCGCAACGAGCGCAACCCUUGUUUUUAGUUGCCAGUAUUAAGUUAGGCACUCUAAAGAUACUGCCUCGGUUAGCGGGGAGGAAGGUGGGGAUGACGUCAAGUCCUCAUGGCCUUUAUAUCCAGGGCUACACACGUGCUACAAUGGACUGUACAAAGGGUUGCAACACCGCGAGGUGAAGCUAAUCUCAAAAAGCAGUUCUCAGUUCGGAUUGAAGUCUGCAACUCGACUUCAUGAAGGUGGAAUCGCUAGUAAUCGUGGAUCAGCAUGCCACGGUGAAUACGUUCCCGGGUCUUGUACACACCGCCCGUCACACCACGAAAGUCGGCUGUACCAGAAGUUGCUGGGCUAACCCUUCGGGGAGGCAGGUACCUAAGGUACGGUCGGUAAUUGGGGUGAAGUCGUAACAAGGUA